ACCUCAGAAAAGGCCUUGUGAGGACAGACAUUGCUUAGAAAACAGGCUGUGUAUAUCUACAUACAGUAUUUGAGAAGUGGAGGAAGGAGAGUAAUAUCUGCCACUACCUACGAUUGAAUUCUCAACCUUCUCAACCCAAGUGGGAGACGAGCACCUUCAUCACUAAGCAACCACACUGCUUUAUUACCUGAAUCACUGCUGGCCGUUAAAGUAUGAUGCCAUAGGACUUCAACUUGUAACUUCCUCUUGGCUUCCCCAUUAACUUUGCUUGUUGGAAGCUAGCUGUGAAGGCCACACAUUUUGAUCAUGUGACCAUGAGAUGCUGAGACCAUCGCAAGUGCAAGGUUGUUGCUAAGUUUAUUUUCAGCACUAUUGUAACUUCAAUCUGAAGGAGUGCUGGUUGAACAGGGACUGCUGUUUUGUCUUCUAUAAAAAUGACUGUUUAUUUCUA